rnacentral:tRNA from 1 species
CAGGGAGACAACAAAAUGUUUAAUAUUAUUAUUUUGUCACCUUAGGUCGAUCGGUAUCUCACGUUCUUAAUUUAUUAAGAAUUUCAUUUCCUAAGUUUUUCUAGGUCACACCCAUUAUUUUUCCUGGGCCAUUAGCUCAGGUGGUUAGAGCGCACCCCUGAUAAGGGUGAGGUCCCUGGUUCAAGUCCAGGAUGGCCCAUAUCUCUAUGUUGGGGGUAUAGCUCAGUUGGUAGAGCGCCUGCUUUGCAAGCAGGAUGUCAGCGGUUCGAGUCCGCUUACCUCCACUGAUUACCACCUCUUCCAUAACUGGUAAAAAGGAAAUGUUUUGAGUUGUGAUCAAAUUCUGAAAGAAUCUAGCUUCCUAAUGUAAUCAUUAAGAUGCUGGACUCAUUGAUUAAUUUCAUUGUUUUCAGAGAACCUUGACAACUGCAUAGAUUAUUUUUAAAGACAAUAAGCAUCUUUAAUGAUGCAGAUUUAUUAUUUGUGCGAAUGCAUUAAUAACAAUUCUAUUAAGCUGAUGCUUCAAUUUUUGAAGUUAUU